rnacentral:rRNA from 1 species
AGCAGCCGCGGUAAUUCCAGCUCCAAUAGCGUAUAUUAAAGUUGUUGCAGUUAAAAGCUCGUAGUUGAAUUUCGGGAUCAGUAUGUUGGUCGUGCUUCGGUACGUACUGUCAUUACUGGCUUCUACCUUCUGAAGAACCUUGAUGUCAUUAAUUUGGUGUCUUUGGGAGUCAGGACUGUUACUUUGAAAAAUUAGAGUGUUUAAAGCAAGCAUACGCUUGAAUACAUUAGCAUGGAAUAAUGAAAUAGGACGUUUGAUUCUAUUUUGUGGUUUCUAGGAUCGACGUAAUGAUUAAUAGGGAUAGUUGGGGGCAUUAGUAUUCAAUUGUCAGAGGUGAAAUUCUUGGAUUUAUUGAAGACUAACUACUGCGAAAGCAUUUGCCAAGGAUGUUUUCAUUAAU